AUACGUAGGGUGCAAGCGUUAAUCGGAAUUACUGGGCGUAAAGCGUGCGCAGGCGGUUUUGUAAGACAGUGGUGAAAUCCCCGGGCUCAACCUGGGAACUGCCAUUGUGACUGCAAGGCUGGAGUGCGGCAGAGGGGGAUGGAAUUCCGCGUGUACCAGUGAAAUGCGUAGAUAUGCGGAGGAACACCGAUGGCGAAGGCAAUCCCCUGGGCCUGCACUGACGCUCAUGCACGAAAGCGUGGGGAGCAAACAGGAUUAGAUACCCUGGUAGUCCACGCCCUAAACGAUGUCAACUGGUUGUUGGGGAUUUAUUUUCUCAGUAACGAAGCUAACGCGUGAAGUUGACCGCCUGGGGAGUACGGCCGCAAGGUUAAAACUCAAAUGAAUUGACGGGG
rnacentral:rRNA from 1 species